GCCAGACUCCUACGGGAGGCAGCAGUGAGGAAUAUUGGUCAAUGGGCGCGAGCCUGAACCAGCCAAGUCGCGUGAGGGAUGACGGCCCUACGGGUUGUAAACCUCUUUUGUCGGGGAGCAAAUUCCGCCACGUGUGGCGGAGUCGAGAGUACCCGAAGAAAAAGCAUCGGCUAACUCCGUGCCAGCAGCCGCGGUAAUACGGAGGAUGCGAGCGUUAUCCGGAUUUAUUGGGUUUAAAGGGUGCGUAGGCGGACUGUCAAGUCAGCGGUAAAAUUUCGGGGCUCAACCCCGUCGUGCCGUUGAAACUGGCGUUCUUGAGUGAGCGAGAAGUAUGCGGAAUGCGUGGUGUAGCGGUGAAAUGCAUAGAUAUCACGCAGAACCCCGAUUGCGAAGGCAGCGUACCGGCUCCACACUGACGCUGGGGCACGAAAGCGUGGGUAUCGAACAGGAUUAGAUACCCCCGUA
rnacentral:rRNA from 1 species